AUUUAAUUAACUUAAAUAAUUUUGUAUUGGUAAAAAAAAAAACCAGGGUAGUGACUUGUAACGUUCUGUCUCAGGCGCUGGCCAUGGCAGGCAGCCGGUUGGAGACCGUGGGGAGCAUAUUUUCGCGGACUCAGGACCUGAUUCGGGUUGGGGUGUUGAAGGAGAAGCCCCUCUGAUAUGAUAUAUAUAAUGCUUUUCCCCUGCUGAGGGAGCCGGUCUUCCGAAGGCCCCGCUUGCGGUAUGGCAAAGCCAAAUCUCCCAUCCAGGACAUCUGGUACCACGAGGAUCGGAUCAGAGCGAAAUUUUAUUCAGCCUAUGGAUCUGGUCAAAAGGCUUUUGAUCUGUUCAAUCCAAACUUCAAGUCUGUCUGUCAACGGUUUGUGGAGAAGUACAUUGAGCUGCAGAAACUUGGAGAAACAAAUGAGGAAAAAUUAUUUGUGGAAACAGUGAAAGCUUUAUUGGCAGAAGGUGUCAUUUUAAGACGUGUAGGAGAAGCAAAGACUCAGGCAGGUAGUCACGUUUCCUGGAAAUCUGAAAACAUGAGUGUCACACCCCAAACUGAGUUGGAAGAAAACCAGCCUAAGAAAGAGGUUCCGCAGGACCAGCAUUUGGAGGCAUCUGAAGAACAGACAAAAGGUCUCUCUCCUCCCUGAAGACUUGUGUACUGUGUAUACUGACAUCCACACUCUGCUCACUAACUGAAUGUUGAACUAUUUUUAACAGUUGAACUGUGUAAAUGUUUCUUGAUCUCUAAGGCAUUGUUUGCCUUCUCUUAGUUCUUAUUUCUGGGUUGUCAUAAAGCUCAGUAUCAUAGUUUGACAGAAGCAGUUAUGUGAACUUUUAUGUUAGGACAUUACUAAAUAAAGAAUUCCCUAGCUGCUUAUAAAGUAAAUUUACUUUGAAAUUGUAAAUAACAUGAGGAAACCUUUAUAAAGAGUGUUUGAAGGGACUCAUCUGAGUAGGUUUGCUUGGAUAUUUGUGUUAGCAUGUAUGCUGGCUACAUUUGAUUCCCUGAUAGGUAUCUCUUCUCUGGAUCCACCAGACUUUUAACAUGCACACAUGGUAUGGUCCCUUGGCCAGCCAUUUCUGUCUGCAGAUAACCUUUGUGUUUGCUGUAGAACUAUUAACCUGCAACUUUGAGAGGCCAAGCUGACUUGUGCUUUUCCGUAAGAGUGAGGACCUGUCAUUGCUGAUGGACAGAUACCAGAACCAAAACUUUAAUCUCUUAUUUACUGAUAUGGAUUGAGUGUGCUGGAGAUGAUUCAUGUAAGCUGACACAUAGGAGGCUGCUCAGUAUUUGUUAAAUGAAUCAAAGAUUACGUCCUGCUCAAGACUGAAUUCACAUUGCCAAGAGGAGAGGCAGUGGACUAAAAGGAUGAUCUCCACCAGUAUCCACCUGCCUCUCCGGGGCCAAGGUCUACUUACAAAUCCUUGCCAACUGUCCUGCCUUCUCAUUUUUCUGCUUUACUAAAUAAAUGUAAGCAUCCUCUGAGAUUGACGGUUUUGUAUUUGUGAUCAGGCCAGUGGUUUUCAGAUACUAGUAAUAAACUGCUUCAGAAAUUCAAAAAAAAAAAA